rnacentral:rRNA from 1 species
UACGAAGGGGGCUAGCGUUGUUCGGAAUUACUGGGCGUAAAGCGCACGUAGGCGGAUUUGCCAGUCAGGGGUGAAAUCCCGGGGCUCAACCUCGGAACUGCCUCUGAUACAGCAAGUCUUGAGUCCGGAAGAGGUGGGUGGAAUUCCUAGUGUAGAGGUGAAAUUCGUAGAUAUUAGGAAGAACACCAGUGGCGAAGGCGGCCCACUGGUCCGGUACUGACGCUGAGGUGCGAAAGCCAGGGGAGCAAACGGG